AGGAUGAACGCUGGCGGCAUGCUUUACACAUGCAAGUCGAACGGGCGUAGCAAUACGUCAGUGGCAGACGGGUGAGUAACGCGUUGGGAACGUACCUUUUGGUCGAACAACCCAGGGAAACUUGGGCUAAUACCGGAUAAGCCCUUACGGGGAAAGACUUUAUCGCCGAAAGAUCGGCCCGCGUCUGAUUAGCUAGUUGGUGUGGUAACGGCGCACCAAGGCGACGAUCAGUAGCUGGUCUGAGAGGAUGAU
rnacentral:rRNA from 1 species